CCUACGGGAGGCAGCAGUGGGGAAUAUUGGACAAUGGGCGCAAGCCUGAUCCAGCAACGCCGCGUGGAGGACGAAGGCCCUCGGGUCGUAAACUCCUGUCAGUGGGGACGAAAAAGUAGGGUCGAACAGGCCCUGCCAUUGACGGUACCCGCAGAGGAAGCCCCGGCUAACUCCGUGCCAGCAGCCGCGGUAAU
rnacentral:rRNA from 1 species